CGCCAUGACCAGAUGGGGUCUCCCCAGACAGAAUGAGAGCCCGCGCGCGCCGACUGGGCCGCCGAGCGCAGCUUUAGCUUCCUGCUCAAGGAACCCUCCCGGUUACAGCAGCGCCCACAACGCGGAAGAAGCUGAAGCAGGAGCAGCAGCUGCUGCUAGUCAGUCAAUCACCCUCAGCUGGAAGGUAACGCCUGGCCCGAGGCAACUGGGCGGGGAAAUACUCCCGCCCCGAAAGGAAGCUCAGGCGUCCCCAAGAGCCUCCCUCAGGAGCUGACGACGAGGAAGCGGCAGGAAGGACGCUUCGCUAGUCCCCUUCCAGGGAAAGCGCUGUCUGCGCUUACCUGCCAUCGUGCCGCUGACCCAGUGUCCAGACCCGCUUUGCAGACGCUGCCCUUACAACUACUCGCGCUCUGGGUCCUGAGCCCCACCCCUUAUAUAGGAGCAGGCGGAGUCCAGCAACAGGGGCGGGGCUACAAGGGAUGACCAAAAGGGGGAAUGGCCAUAGAGAAACGGAGGGAGAUGUGUGAACUGCUUCUCGGAAGCGCGCAGGCUUCAAAAAUAUUGCAACCGUGAAUAAAACAGGUCCUGUCUCUCGCAGAGGGAACCGGGCAGGCGCUUGUCAGGUGAAGCCUUUCCUCGCCCCAGGCAGAACUGCUCUCCGGAUGAACGCCCUGGCUAACACCAACGGAAAACCUGACCCUUUUAGAAGAAGGUUCCCUUAGACCGGAGGCUUUGUAGCAGAGGAACUGAAAUGGAGUCGUUCUGAAAAAUGGAGGGAAACCAACCAGAUACUACAGCUUCUAUAGGAAAAUUUUAACCACAAUACCUCAAUGGCUAUGCCGAUUUCUCUUUGUUCUAGGUACACAUGUUGCAGGUAUAUAAAAGGGAGGAGCUGCAGUGCUGCAUCACGCAAAGUGCAACGCUACGUGCACACUUAGCGUCACACUUGGCGUCUGGAAUCCAUCACCCACCAAGAAAAAUAAUUGCUGCAAGUGCUGGAGAGAGUCAGGCAAACCAACAAGUUGUGAUUGAAAGCCUGUCCUUCUUUUAGGAAAGUGGGGACACAUGACAUAAGUCAAACUCCACCCCUUUUUACUCCAAAACCUGGGAAAUUGGAGAUCGAGUGUGUUUUACCUUGAAGUUAGCUUCACAUAGACCUCAAAACGUAUUGGUCAUCAACCCCGUUGCCACACCAGGGGUUCCCAAACUGUGGCCUGUGGCAUGUCGGUGGAUUUGUGGUUGAAGAUGGGAGGUGGCACAUCCAUUUCACUGAAAAUUCAUGUUGACUUUUAAUUGUAUUUUUAUUGCUACUUUUAUUCCUUAUAUUGUAUUUUAUUGUAUUACAGUUUGAAUUCUGUGGAAUAACAAUUGCUACAACAGGCAGAACAAUCAUUAAGUGAUCCACCAAGACCCUCAGCAAUUGUGAAGUGGUGCAUGGGGGAAAAAAAGUUUGGGAAACACUGUUCUAUUGCCCAGUUUAUACAUCCAUAGCAACAAAAAGAGGAUUUAGAAUAAGGAACUUAAUAAAGAGUUGAUAAUAAUGCAGAGUAUGGUUUAAUAAAAUGAAAUAGCAGGUCCUACCUUUACUUCCAACGGUGUGUUGUCUUCUCAUGCUCGUGCAUCAUUUUGAAAAGAUGUAUGAUGUACCACCACCACCACCACAUGUUUUGGCUGUCCAGCUUGCCUGUCAGCAAAAGGCCAUUUGGUGAAUGUGAUCGACUGUACUAAUUGGGAGGAAAGGACAAGGAGGCCUAGAUAUGAAACGUAUACUGUUUGUUUAUUACCUCUACCUUUAGGUGCUGCCCAUAUAAAUAAAUGUUACUGUGGCAGUGGUAAUGAAUUAAUGGAUCUGCCAGUAUUUUCCUUCGCGCAGAUCCCAGUGAAGAAACUUUGAAAUCUGGUAUAAAGUUAGGUUUUUCUUCAUUUAUCAUUUACGUUAAACCCAAUGCACACUCUGAGAAGGGUGUGUUCCUUUUUUUUUUAAUUGUUUUUAUUGAUUUCAUAGUAAUUUAACAUGAAUAAUAUAAUGAUACAAAAAGACAUCAAUUUAACUUUAAUACCCUCCCCCCUCCCCCCACUUUAGAGCCAAUUCCUGUUUUGAUUCGGUUUAUGUGCUAUGUUAUGGAAAGUAUAUUGGUAAGUAUUGGUAUACAGGUGAUUAUUGUAGUGAAUGAAAAUUAAAUACAAUAUUAACAUGAGAUGGUUUAAAAUUGUAGGAGUAUUAUUAUUCGUUUAGGAAAACCAGAUAGUUUUUGCAGAUGAAGAAAGCUGGGUAUGUAGGUCUCGUUGUGAGGUGUAUUCCAUGUAGUUCCACCAUACUGACGUGAACAAUUCCGGUUUUGCAGCACCUCUUAGAAAUCGAAGAUGCAGCGUGAUUUUGUCCAAUAUAGCUAUCGUCCAUAUUUUGUUGAACCAAAUCUGCAAGUUAAGUCCAUCUUGAUUUUUCCAGUAUUGUAAUAUUGUUAGUCUCGCUGCUAU